rnacentral:rRNA from 1 species
UACGUAGGGACCAAGCGUUGUUCGGAUUUACUGGGCGUAAAGGGCGCGUAGGCGGCGUGUUAAGUCAGCUGUGAAAUCUCCAAGCUUAACUUGGAACGGUCAGCUGAUACUGAUGUGCUAGAGUGCAGAAGGGGCAACUGGAAUUCUUGGUGUAGCAGUGAAAUGCGUAGAUAUCAAGAGGAACACCAGUGGCGAAGGCGAGUCCCUGGACAACACCUGACACUGAGGCACGAAAGCUAGGGGAGCAAACAGG